CCCAAAUCAACAAAGCAUGCCUAGUGAAUUAAAAUAAAAGAAAAGAAAAGAAAAGCAAAUAAUAUUAUGAAUUGCAUAUGAGGCCAUGGAGUCCCACGGCUGACUCAAUCUCAGGUCAUCCAAUGCACCUCUAGGAUAAAUCAUAGGCUUGCUUCGGUAUGGGGCCCAGGUGGAGGCCUCAGGAGCAUCAAGCCCAGCUGAGACUCCGAUGAUAUACAGG